AGGGUGCACACAACACAAAACGUCACACAUUGUAGUAAAACUAUUAUUUUAACAAAUUAAAAUAUUAUAUCGCUCUCUUCUUCUCUAGUGUGUCCUUUCUUUCGAUCCAUCUUCUUUGUUCUCUCACUGGAUCGUCUUCUCUCUCUCCCUUUAUAUCAUUUUUUUGGUCUAAGAGUUUCGUCGGUCGUAUGCACACCAAGUGUUCGAUGAAAUCACUGUGAUGGUGUUGUGAUUGGAUAUUGAAAGGGAUCUAUCUUAAACAACGAUUUGUGUUCUUCCUCGCUCUUGUUAUCUGUCGCUCUCACACAAUCGCGAUUUGCAAGUUUUUGCAUUGAGAGAUGGGCGAUAGUGAAGGCUUGUCUUAGUUGCAGGUGCCAUCUAUUAUUCAUACCGAUACUUGUUUUUUCCUCAUUAGACCCUUUUCAUGAUGUAAAGAGCAAAUAAACCCCUUUAUGAUUCACUCCUUUCAGAACCUCCUGAUUUAAGUAUUUGGUUUUCAAGCUAUGUUUAUGAAUCGCGGAUGCUGGAUACAAGUGAUGGUUUUUGUGAAGAAAGGGUCUAAAAAGAAGGUUUUUUUUUUUAUUAUAAAACAUCCAUCUCUUGUCAUAUCCCUCGUAUAUCAUAAUGCAUGACUUCUUUCUAUUGUGUUUACUCUUGUAGUGAUGUUACAUAACAUAUAUACUCUUGUAGUGAUGUUACGUAACAUACAUAAAUCCCAAGGUUUGCUUUUUUUCUUUUUUCUUUUCGUGAUACUUUAGUUUUGUAAACCUGAAUUGAAGUUCUGCAUAUGUAAUGAUGAUAUGGUUAUCUAUUGAUUGUGAAAUCUGGUUGGCUAUUGCAAGUUAUACUAGUUUGGUUUAUAUCCUCAGAUUUGGUUUAAUAAGUGUUUCAUGUUCGAGCACAAUAUCACAAUCCCAAGGAAGCGAUCAAGUGGUUGAAGCAAUCCGCUGAGAAUGGUUACGUUCGAGCACAAUGUCACUAUAUCAGUUAGCUCUUUGUUUACACCAAAGCUGGGUUGUGCAAACCAAUAUGCUAAUAUCAUCUGAGAUUGAAGUAUUGGUAUAAGAUAGUUGUGUUGUUGAUUGUAUUCAUAUGAUCCAGAGAGAUUUUUUGAAGAACAAGGUCUAAGAUUCAUGCUGGGUUUGUUCUUAAUAACUCUCCAUGGCGAGCCCAACUCAAGGCAACAACAGGGAGAACCGAGCUGCCAAUCCUGAAGUUGUGACUGAAUCUCCGCAAAUGGCUGAACUUCCGCAAUGUGUCUGAUGAGUCUCAUGAGCAAGAAGAUGAUGACGAUGACGACGAGCUUGUAGGUAGUGCACUCUUCUGAUGAACUUGUUGUCUCAGCUUUCUAUCAUCCCUCUUGUCUAAGGUACUUGGCUUCUACGGCUUUCGUUUAAAGCUCUUGUCUUUUGUCUGCUAGUGUAGAACUCUAUCUAUUUUGAAUGUUUAAAGCUAAGGUUUAACAUUAAUCGGAACUUUUGUACUUUCAUUUUGCAAUUUGAUUUUCGAGGUCUUUUUUGAGAUAAUUUGUUUUGGCCCUACAUAUAAAUUUUGUAAUGGAUACGAAAAGGUGUAGCAA